AGAGUUUGAUCCUGGCUCAGGAUGAACGCUGGCGGCGUGCUUAACACACGCAAGUCGAACGGGAAUUACUUUAUUGAAACUUCGGUCGAUAUGAUUUAAUUCUAGUGGCGGACGGGUGAGUAACGCGUGGGUAACCUGCCUUGUACAGGGGGAUAACAGUCAGAAAUGACUGCUAAUACCGCAUAAGCGCACAGGACCGCAUGGUCCGGUGUGAAAAACUCCGGUGGUAUAAGAUGGACCCGCGUUGGAUUAGCUAGUUGGUGAGGUAACGGCCCACCAAGGCGACGAUCCAUAGCCGGCCUGAGAGGGUGAACGGCCACAUUGGGACUGAGACACGGCCCAGACUCCUACGGGAGGCAGCAGUGGGGAAUAUUGCACAAUGGGGGAAACCCUGAUGCGGCGACGCCGCGUGAGCGAAGAAGUAUUUCGGUAUGUAAAGCUCUAUCAGCAGGGAAGAAAAUGACGGUACCUGACUAAGAAGCCCCGGCUAACUACGUGCCAGCAGCCGCGGUAAUACGUAGGGGGCAAGCGUUAUCCGGAUUUACUGGGUGUAAAGGGAGCGUAGACGGAAUGGCAAGUCUGAUGUGAAAGGCCGGGGCUCAACCCCGGGACUGCAUUGGAAACUGUCAAUCUAGAGUACCGGAGGGGUAAGUGGAAUUCCUAGUGUAGCGGUGAAAUGCGUAGAUAUUAGGAGGAACACCAGUGGCGAAGGCGGCUUACUGGACGGUAACUGACGUUGAGGCUCGAAAGCGUGGGGAGCAAACAGAAUUAGAUACCCUGGUAGUCCACGCCGUAAACGAUGAAUAAAAGGUGUUGGGGAGCGAAGCUCUUCGGUGCAGCAGCAAACCCAAUUAGUAUUCCACAUGGGGAGUACGUUCGCAAGAAUGAAAACUGAAAGGAAUAGACGGGGACCCGCACAAGCGGUGGAGCAUGUGGUUUAAUUCGAAGCGAACGCGAAGGACCUUACCAAGUAUUGACAUCCCUCUGACCGGAACUUAACCGUUCCUUUCCUUCGGGACAGAGGAGACAGGUGGUGCAAGGUAGUUGUCAGCUCGUGUCGUGAGAUGUAGGGUUAAGUCCAGCAACGAGCGCAACCCCUAUCCCCAGUAGCCAGCGGUUCGGCCGGGCACUCUGAGAAGACUGCCAGGGAUAACCUGGAGGAAGGCGGGGAUGACGUCAAAUCAUCAUGCCCCUUAUGAUUUGGGCUACACACGUGCUACAAUGGCGUAAACAAAGGGAAGCGAACCUGCGAGGGUGGGCAAAUCCCAAAAAUAACGUCCCAGUUCGGACUGUAGUCUGCAACCCGACUACACGAAGCUGGAAUCGCUAGUAAUCGCGGAUCAGAAUGCCGCGGUGAAUACGUUCCCGGGUCUUGCACACACCGCCCGUCA
rnacentral:rRNA from 1 species